rnacentral:rRNA from 1 species
UGGGGAAUAUUGGGCAAUGGGCGAAAGCCUUACCCAGCAACGCCGCGUGAGGGAAGAAGGUUUUCGGAUUGUAAACCUCUGUCCUGGGGGACGAAGGAAGUGACGGUACCCCGGGAGGAAGCCCCGGCUAACUACGUGCCAGCAGCCGCGGUAAUACGUAGGGGGCGAGCGUUGUCCGGAAUUAUUGGGCGUAAAGGGCGCGUAGACGGCCGAGUAAGUUAUAGGUGAAAGCCCAUCUUUCAAGGAUGGAAUUGCCUGUAAUACUGCCUGGCUUGAGUGCAGGAGAGGGAAGCGGAAUUCCUAGUGUAGCGGUGAAAUGCGUAGAUAUUAGGAGGAACACCAGUGGCGAAGGCGGCUUUCUGGACUGCAACUGACGUUGAGGCGCGAAAGCGUGGGGAGCAAACAGGAUUAGAUACCC